rnacentral:tRNA from 1 species
GGGGAUUUAGCUCAGCGGUAGAGUGCUUGCCUAGCAAGCGCAAGGCCCUGGGUUCGAUCCCCAGCUCCA